rnacentral:rRNA from 1 species
GCGAAGCCUGACGGAGCAAUACCGCGUGAGGGAGGAAGGCUCUUGGGUUGUAAACCUCUUUUCUCAGGGAAGAAAAAAAUGACGGUACCUGAGGAAUAAGCAUCGGCUAACUCCGUGCCAGCAGCCGCGGUAAUACGGAGGAUGCAAGCGUUAUCCGGAAUGAUUGGGCGUAAAGGGUCCGCAGGUGGCCAUGUAAGUCUGCUGUUAAAGAAUGAGGCUUAACCUCAUCAGAGCGGUGGAAACUACAGAGCUAGAGUGCGGUCGGGGUAGAGGGAAUUCCUGGUGUAGCGGUGAAAUGCGUAGAUAUCAGGAAGAACACCAGUGGCGAAAGCGCUCCUUACUAGACCAUAACUGACACUGAGGGACGAAAGCUAGGGGAGCGAAUGGGAUUAGAUACCCCAGUAGUCCUAGCCGUAAACGAUGGAUACUAGGCGUGGCUUGUAUCGACCCGAGCCGUGCCGGAGCUAACGCGUUAAGUAUCCCGCCUGGGGAGUACGCACGCAAGUGUGAAACUCAAAGGAAUUGACGGGGGCCCGCACAAGCGGUGGAGUAUGUGGUUUAAUUCGAUGCAACGCGAAGAACCUUACCAAGACUUGACAUGUCGCGAAUCCUACCGAAAGGUGGGAGUGCCUUCGGGAGCGCGAACACAGGUGGUGCAUGGCCGUCGUCAGCUCGUGUCGUGAGAUGUUGGGUUAAGUCCCGUAACGAGCGCAACCCUCGUUUUUAGUUGCCAGCAUUAAGAUGGGCACUCUAGAGAGACUGCCGGUGACAAACCGGAGGAAGGUGGGGAUGACGUCAAGUCAGCAUGCCCCUUACGUCUUGGGCUACACACGUACUACAAUGCUACGGACAAAGGGCAGCGACACAGCGAUGUGAAGCAAAUCUCAUAAACCGUAGCUCAGUUCAGAUCGCAGGCUGCAACUCGCCUGCGUGAAGUAGGAAUCGCUAGUAAUG